UGGCGGCGAUAGCGCGGUGGUCCCACCUGACCCCAUGCCGAACUCAGAAGUGAAACGCCGUAGCGCCGAUGGUAGUGUGGGGUCUCCCCAUGUGAGAGUAGGGAACUGCCAG
rnacentral:rRNA from 3 species